rnacentral:lncRNA from 1 species
GCCUUAUGCCCGUUUUCACCAACAACCUCUUACCGUUUCCCUAUCUAAAUGCUACUUUUAGUAAGGAUCCCUCCCAAUUUGACACCUACCUAAAUUCAUUUUCACCACACUUGUACAUGGAUCCCUUAAAUAAGUUUAUUUUGGCAGAGAAGAGAAAACGAGGAUAAACCUUUCUUGCAGAAGAAAAAGACAAGCUAGUGAAAUUGCUGACGUCUCAUAGAGACACAAUAUUAAACAAAAAACGGAUGGGACCACGAACGAAGCCAAAAACAAAGCUUGGAUCCAGUCACAAAUAGUUUUAAUGCGACAGGAACCCUUUACAGUUUCAGGUGGUGCGAGAAAUUGGAAAGACGUGUAAAAACAUGCUGCGCCCAGCCCACCUCAAAUUGAAUUGGUGCAGGAGGAUGAUGAUAAUGUUUGGUACAUCAUAUGAGGACUAAUAUUAAAAUAUUUAUUUAC